rnacentral:rRNA from 1 species
UACGUAGGGACCAAGCGUUGUUCGGAUUUACUGGGCGUAAAGGGCGCGUAGGCGGCAUGACAAGUCACUUGUGAAAUCUCUGGGCUUAACCCAGAACGGCCAAGUGAUACUGUCACGCUAGAGUGCAGAAGGGGCAAUCGGAAUUCUUGGUGUAGCGGUGAAAUGCGUAGAUAUCAAGAGGAACACCUGAGGUGAAGACGGGUUGCUGGGCUGACACUGACGCUGAAGCGCGAAAGCCAGGGGAGCAAACGGG